UACGUAGGGGCAAGCGUUGUCCGGAUUUACUGGGCGUAAAGCGCGCGUAGGCGGAAGGUGAAGCGUGGCCUGAAAGCCCCCGGCUCAACCGGGGAGGGCGGCUGCGAACUGGCCUUCUUGAGGGCGAUGAGAGGGGGCGGAAUUCCUGGUGUAGCGGUGAAAUGCGUAGAGAUCAGGAGGAACACCCGUGGCGAAGGCGGCCCCCUGGGUCGGCCCUGACGCUGAGGCGCGAAGCGUGGGGAGCGAACGGG
rnacentral:rRNA from 1 species